GAUGAACGCUAGCGGGAGGCCUAACACAUGCAAGCCGAGCGGGAUUUGUUGGUUAGCUUGCUAACUAACAAUGAGAGCGGCGUACGGGUGCGUAGCACGUGUGCAACCUGCCUUUAUCUGGGGGAUAGCCUUUCGAAAGGAAGAUUAAUACCCCAUAACAUAUUGAUUGGCAUCAGUUAAUAUUGAAAGCUCCGGCGGAUAGAGAUGGGCACGCGUAAGAUUAGCUAGUUGGUGAGGUAACGGCUCACCAAGGCUGCGAUCUUUAGGGGGCCUGAGAGGGUGGUCCCCCACACUGGUACUGAGACACGGACCAGACUCCUACGGGAGGCAGCAGUGAGGAAUAUUGGACAAUGGGUGAGAGCCUGAUCCAGCCAUCCCGCGUGAAGGACUAAGGACCUAUGGUUUGUAAACUUCUUUUAUACAGGGAUAAACCUACUCUCGUGAGGGUAGCUGAAGGUACUGUAUGAAUAAGCACCGGCUAACUCCGUG
rnacentral:rRNA from 1 species